CCGCACCGGGACUCGAACCCGUGACGCUGCCCGGGACGGAGGAGGGGGGCUGCCCCCGCCCCCCGGCCCCGCGGGCACCUGAGUGGGGCGCGCGGCCCGGCCCCUGCGCGGGGGGGGAGGGAGACCCCGUACACCCUUUUGGCGCCUCUGCUGAGGGCGUGAGGGGCCCCUCGGGGAGGGCUGUGUGUAGCUGUGGGGUGAGAGAGCCCCUCAGUGAUAGGAUUCCCUCAGUGCUGGGCUGAGGGACCCCCUCAGUGAGGGGGUGAGAUAUCGUCAGCUAUGAGAUUCCCUCAGUGAUAAGAGUGGGAGACUUCCUCAGCUUUCUCCUCAGCAGUAGGGUGAUGGAUGUCCUCAGUGAAGAAGUGAGGAUAUCAUCGGUGAUGGGGUGUGGGACACCCUCAGCAUUGACAUAAGGGACUUCCCCGGCAUUGGGUGUCCUCCCACAGCGCUGGGCUGAAAGAACCCUGCCUCCAGUGAUGGACAUCUCCAGUGAUGGACUUCUCCAGUGAUGGACAGACAUCUCUGUAGGUUAUCCUACAGGAUAAAAAGGAAGGUCCUUUUAAUGAACAAAACAGAAGAAGAGGAAGAAGUCUGUUUAUCUAGGAAGGACAGGCUCAAUCUAUCCCUUUUCUGGCCAAGCCCCAUGCAGUUCUCAGCUUACACCUGGGCACACUCCUUCUGUUCACUUGUCAGGUGGGUUGCCUUGCGUGUUCGUUGUUUCUACUCCGCGCAGCUGGAGUCACCGUGAGGCCAUCAGCCUUGCUGCCCUGCCUUAGGUUUCACUGUCCUCCUUCUUCAUUACUCUUCAAGGCUGCAUGAAUACAAUCACAGAAGCUGUAAUUGCACACGUCUCCUUUCCACCUCCUGUGCCUUGUCAGCAUUUUGUAGAGACGAAGAUAACUGACAGUCGCAGACACUGGAGGACAAAAGGUGAAUCUGUGGACAGGCCACAUUGGAUGUGUUGUUAGGGAGUGCAGUGGGUUGUGGAUCAUGGCCUCAUCCCGCAAGCCUGGCAUGCAGGGUAGAAGAGCAUAGCAGUGUCCUCCUUUGCAAGGUUUACACCAAUGUGCGUCCUUUGUUGAAAUGGGGCCUCUUGAAAUGCACAACACCAAACUUCUGCUCAUCUUGGCAUGCAUCCAGUUCAAGGCACAAAACUCCUACUCCAACAAAGAUUUAUUCUGAGGAAAAAGAUGUAAUUCCUAAGAAAAUUAGCUCAGCUAAGGAAGGACUUGGGUGUGUCCGUGACUCUGUUCCUUAUUAAAAUUGGGGCAGAAAUCCUUUCUCACAGGACAUACAAGUGAAUUUUUGAGGUCUUGUGCAGGCUAACUUUUAAUAUAACAGCAGUGGGCAUCACUUCAUCAGUGCUGUUGUGCCCCUUCUUGACUUAUGGGUUUGAUGGAUGACUUCUGCAUGAAACCUACCUGUCUGGGUGAAUCCCAUACAUGGUAUUUAUUCCACUACUGACAUUUGAGAAAAUGAGUUCUCCAAAAAUGGGAACAUGCAGAACCACCAUCAUAAUGAUAAUGACCUGGUGACCCUCUUAUUGUGUAUGCUGUUAAAACAAAGCCACCUGAAGAGAUGCUCCAAGGACCUACAUUACUACCCAAGCCCUCUAUUGCUGUGCAUGGCUUAUCUCCAGCAAGUUACCAACAUGCAGUUCUUAGGAGUAGGAUGGUGAGGAACACUUUGAGGUGAGAAUGAUAAUUAGUUUGUUGACAUACCCUAAUUUUCUAAGAUAAUGCUUCCUAAUUUCAGAGUAACCCCAGCACACCCUUGUUACAGGGCUCUGGACCCAGUCUGGCCAGUCCCUGGAGCAGUCUUCUCUGUCAUUGGGUAGUAGGAAGCAGCUACCAGAGGAACUGGUUCCCCUGGCAGUUGCUGAACCAGGACUACACCUGCGGUGCAGCAGCUGCUUUGGAUCUAUGAAUUCCAACAGCUCCAGUGGGGAUUGUUUAAAAAUAUGUACUUACGUGUCUCUACAAACAGUUAAGAUAUUUACAUGUCUAUUGCUAACUGUAGGACAAGCCUAAAAAAAUUUGGAGUAAGAAGAAACGAGAUUUGGUUUUAAUUUUAAGGGAUUCACUCCCAAAUCUGAGCUUCAAAGUAGAAAAACUUCUGGGAACUAUUAAGUCUGGCUUUGGGUAAGGUAUAUGUGUAAGGCCAUAUGACUUGGCCCCUGUGUCAGAGUGUUUCAGGCAGGCAGGCAUCCCAGAACCUGCUGUCAAACAGCAGCCAUAGUGUGGUCCUAGCAGGACAAAAACAUAGAGACUCACAGCUGACAAGCACUUCCAAGAGCACUGAGCUGCAGCAUGAUCUCUCUCAAGCAGUGAAUAAGUUGAUCUCUUUAAUUACAGGAAGUGGAACAAGAUUUUACCUAUAGUUUUGUGCAAAUCAGGGCUGGCAUAGCUUGUCUGUGCACCAAGUCCAGUCCUACUUGUGGAAAAGCAGCUCUCUGACUUCCCUCUUGACUUGAGUGAGAUGUAUGUGGAGAGCAGGAGUCUGCCUCCUCCUCUGUUCUUCUCUGAGUUUAUUACGUAGCCUCAGUGUGUUUCUUUGAUUUUUCCAUUAAAAUAUGUUUAUUUGUUUCUAAUUAGGGUUGCCCUUUCGGUAGCAUUUAUUCUCUCAUUUAUUUAUAGACAGCAAUUCAAUCCCUCCACAAACCAUGUUUUGAAAGGUUAAACAGAAGUCCACACUGGCUUAGCUUAUCAGAAAAUAAAUGUCUGCUUCUCCUGGUCACAUUAACCCUCUGCACCUCAAGUUUUAAUCAACCUUUCCUGAACGUACACACCCUAAAUUAUACAUUUACUUUAUAAGGAUAAUAAUUCUUCAGCUACAUGUGAAACCGUUCAUAGUAAACACAUGAUCAAGUGCUUUGCCUGCUUGUUAUUCUUGUAUACCAUGAGUUCUCAUUAGCAGCUCAUCAGCAUUCACAAGUAUGAGGUUUUGCGCUCCUUCAGCUUUUACAAGCCUUCUGCGAUGGCCUGAUUUCCAGCUGCAGUGGCAGCAUUUCCUACCUUCAUUCUUUCACUUUGUAAACAUCCCUAAUUCUUGAAGGUGGGUCCAAAAGCCAACCUUUGAGGAAUUUCAGUCACAUCUUUUUACUGAGCUUUAUUUUGAGCGGAGUGGUCUGUUCUUAAAUUCGCUUUUUGUUGGGUCCUCUGCUUCUAUUCCUGCAUCUAGCAAGACGGAGGGAAGCAUCGUUCAUUCCUGGAGUCACAGCUAAAGUUUAUGUUUUAAUCUUUACAUGUUAGCCAUCUCGCCUCUGUUGUUCCAUCAGACUCCUAAAACUACUAAAGACCCUUCUGUAUAGUAUUAGAGUUUCCUCUUUAGGGUCUUGACUGGGAGCAGUUCUCAAGUUUUUCACGCACGUACUCACCACCAAGUCAUAACUCCUUUCUCAGCUUUUACUGCUGCUAGCAAAUUCUUUGCUCAUUCCCAGUACCAUUCACUGUAGUUACACAACCACUGAGGGAUGGAGUCACCCUCUAAAAACUUUGCACAUUAUUUGGGAUACAAGUUUUAGACAUCUCCUGUACUAAAGUGAACACAAAAUUUCCAUGCCACUCUAACUGUUGUCCUUGAAAUUAAGAAUCUUGAAUCUCUUUAUCAUUUGAUAUAGGGUAGUUUUCAGUUGCCACCUAUUAUGCUGUAUUUUCCCAUGACGUCCCAUCUAAAAAAAUAUGUCAAUCCGCUCUGGGUGGUGUCUUGGAUGUUUAAGUUGAGCAAACAGUGCCUGCUGCAAGUAGGUGUUGUCAGAAGCCACCAGCAGUUCUGUAGUGUGUAUAGUCACAGGAAACUGUGACGUUACUCUCACUUCUGCUGCCUCAGUGUGAAAUGGCAUUAGGGAAAAAGAAACCAUGUCUCAAUUAAUAAGAAAUGAGCACAGCGGAGGAUCUUGCCUCUAAUUUACAGAAAGUUGUGAAAUGCUUCCUUCUGAACAUUUCCCAGAUCGGCAAAGCAAACCAAACAUGAUUCAUUUCUUUGGAGACGGGUGGUGAUUGGUGGUGAUCAGGGUACUUUGUUCUGCAUGAUGUAUUACUCCUCCUAAAGAGCUCCUCCAAAAAGGGAGACACACUAACAAAACCUCCCCGAGGACUGUACGUCCAGAAGCCAGACAUCUAAAGUGGGAUUGCAAGUUAAAAACACCAACUCUGAAUUCACGCGACAGAGUCUUUUUUACCUAAACCAGCUUAAACAAAAUUGAAAGCAUCUGGGAUGAGUGGCAGGAUGCCCCUGUGGCAGAACAAAUGGAGGAGUCUGUGGCUCUGGACUCGCAGCUGCAAGGAGGAAUAGUCUCUGGAGUAUUCUGUCUGGCUGUGCAUCACUGCACGCAGUCACCCUUAUACAGUGCUCAGCAGCCUGUGUGACUAAGUUGCUUGUGGGAUGAGGAAACUUCAAAUGACAGAGCUCCAAAAACUCAGAGGCAUAAGGUUUCCCAUAGGAAUCUCCUCUCAUGCGCAGUCUCCCUCCGUGUUGGAAUGUCAUGCUUUGGAUCCAUUUUUCCUUAACCAAGGCAUCAGUUCCAUCCACCUUGCUGCCAGUUCAGCCCCACUGCAUUUUCCCGUAUCCUAACCAGGAAUGUCUCAGCAGCCACCUUAAAAAUUUCAUCACCUGAAGCCCUUUAGAUUUCUCUCUAGAGGGCACUUUCUCUGCCUUAGAGUAGCCAGUAAUUUUUUCCUGUGGUCUCUCCAAUUUUCCACCAAAGUUACUUCUAAAUGUGUAUACCAGAAGCAGAUCCUUAUGUCAGCCUCGGCAUCAUGAGAACUGCACAAAAAAGAAGUGUCAGCCCGGCAGUGCCUUUCCUAUGGAGAGGUAGACGUCCAGCACCCCCAUCACCCAAAGUCUGACUGAACCAAGCACAGGUGCUACUUAGGUGGAAACCCACGGACAGAAAACAGGAAGCUUCUCUAGCACAUAGCAAGAUAGGAAGAUCCAGCCCUGCUUCAUCUCUGUUCUUAAUCAUCACUAUCAGAGAUAAGCUGGGCUGUGGAAAAGGAAGCUAAACUCACAAAUGAGUGUAGAGUUGUGACACAGGAAGAGACCAGGAGCACAUCCAGCAAGCAGCACAGAAGUCAUGAGGCUGUGCCAUGUGCUGAACAGGCUGCCCUGAGGCAGUUUGAGCACAGCCCAGUUCUUGCCUCAGGGUGCUUGGCACCAGCCGGCUGCCCAUUGCCCACCCUGCAGAUAGUGCCAGCUGCAGACAUGCAGCCAUUGGACAAACACCGCAUGUUUUGCUGCAGGGUCAGAUGCAGAGAGAUGUGGUGCUUCAAAUUAACGAGCUCUUAUUCACUGCCACCCAGCUGAGUUGUCUCAAUCAGAUUUAUAAAAAGCUAGUAGGUCACAAGUCCCAUCAGCACGUGCUGGCCUUGAUCUUUUGCAGAUCAAGGAGUGCCAGGCCCUCCUGCAUGCCAUGACAAGCAAUGGAAAAGCAGACAGGCUGUGAUAUCAGGAGGGAUUUGCAGGCAAAGGUAGGCCCCCGGCAAGACUUGCUGCAACAUGGCUGUUGCUGGCUGAAGCCUUUACCCAUGAUGGCUGUACAAUAGCACAAAGAGAAAAGAUCUGCAGAUCAAACCAGCUGAGCAGCUCUGCCAGCACAGUGGGCUGGCUGGGGCAAAGUCCAUCCCCUUAUACAGUGGGAUGAAACUUUUCUCAUUUUGCCAGACUUGGGGGAGAAGAGGAAGUGAGCCUGCUUAUCACAGCAGUGCAGCAUUACCUGUUGGCCAUCCUCCCCACUGAGGACACCAUGGGUCUGCCCUGUAUGACACCUGCAGUCAGCAUCCAUGCACAGAUCAGCUGGACACAGAUUGCCGAUGAGGGGAGCUGGGCAGGAGCUCCAGGAGGCAGCAGAUUCCGGGAUCAGGCUGGCCUGAUGAGUAGUUUUGAGAUACUGCUGAGGGACAGUGGUGCUGGGAGGGCCCUCAAUGGAAACCAAUUUCUUAUAGCACAAGGAGUAUAACUAAAAAGUGGUCUCUUGGCCAAAGGUAGCCUGCUCUGAAGACACUGUCCCCUUGCUCCCCAACUCUUCAAACCAUUAGAAACUUCAUAAAGACUUGGCUAAGGCUCUACAGAAGACUUGUUCCACAACAGAAGGAUUCCAGACAUUUCCAUCUUCUCUGUUUUCUGUCUGCUGCUAAUUAUCGGCACAUGGCAAUGCUUCACCUCUCACUCAAAGCAGUGCAGCUCUCUUAGGCUUUGGACAUGGGGGUCCUGCACAAACCAGUCCCCAGCCUGAAGGCUGAUGUCUGCUGGGAGCACAGCAGGGUUCCUUGUGCCUCCAGGGUGAACCCCUUGAACCCCUUGACAUGCAUGCAGGACUGUGUGGCCAGACCAUGUUUGUAUCUGUUGCACGACACUGGGGCACUGUUUUAAUUUAAAAUGGAUUAGGCUUUGUUUUCUUUCCAGCUCAAUAACAUUGCAUGCAUUGCUGGGCGAUAAAACCCACAGAUAACCAUGCCAGCAGGCUGUUGGGGUGGACGUGAUCAGCAGCACAGCAUGAGCUGAAAUGGCAAAGAAUAGGGGGUAAAACUGCAUAGAAACAUGCUGCUGGUAACACAGACUGGACAGUAUGUGCUGCAGCUCCUGGAGACACUCUUGUACAACCUUUGAGGGCCAUCUUCCUGAAAGAGAAGGGUGGAGAAGCCAAAGCAGAAUAUGGAUGAGUAGCUUGAGCACAGCUCAGUGCUUGGCUUGGGAUGCAGGACAUUAGGUGCAGGGCAGCAGGGAAGCAUGUGAGCCAUUACUCCUUGUCCCAGUCCUUCUCUCAGUCACGGAAUGCUGAUGGUGAUGAUGAUUCCCAGAAGAGGAGCUCCUCCCUAAGCAGUGAGGAUGUCUCAAUUCACCAAAGCUUUGCUUGUUGCUGUUUUUCCCAAGCUGGUUAUGCCUCUCCCUGCUCUCCUCUGGCUUUUCAUGAGCUUAAGAUUUGCUCCAUGUCAUACAAGGGAAGUACUGCCCUACCAAGUGACUCUGGAAAAAGCAUUUUGUUUCCCAGGUUUCUUGGCAGAGCUUCAUUGUCACAUGCACUAGGUUUCUUCACUACCAUAAUCCAUGCAUUCUGGCUGGCAGCAAGCAUGAGGCUGAAUGGAUGGUAUCAGGCAGCACUGACCGUGAGCUGCAGGAAGCGCACCCUGAGCACAAGGUCUUAGGUUGUCCCAGAGUUUGAUCUGGGACUCCCCAGUGGAAGCACAAGGUCUCUGCAGAGCUAAGUAUGGGGACACCUACUUACCCCCCUCUAUUGUGCUAGAGACCACCCAGCAUGUCUCACUCUACACUCUACAACCCCACUUGCUCACCAAACCAUCACUACCAACCAGGCUGGCCCUUGUGGCCCUGCCUAGACCUUCAUUCACAUUGACUCCCUCCAUAAGUGACGUCUGAGGAAGCUGAUGCUUCCAGCAGAAUGCACUAGGAGAGCUCUUUGAAAGGUCAGAUAGCAGCUGGGAACCUGACCCCAUACAGCUCUCUAUACACUAUUUUCCAACAGCUUUCUUACCUGCAACCCUUUAUAGCCUCUCAUGACUUUUUUUUUUUUUUUUUUUUUUUUAAACAUGAGUUUUGCUGCUGACGUGCUCCAGACCAGGCAUCCCUUACUCUGAAAGCUAACAGAAGGCACCAGAAUCCCCUGGGAUACUUUGUCACUGCAUCUCUGUGUGGACAAAGAUGACAGCAGCUGACACAAGAAAAACAAGUACAACUUCGGGAACAAAAUCCAUGUUGCGUGACGUUCCCCAGGCUGCUAAGCACUGGAAUCUGUUGUACUCAGUGCUCACUCUGCACAAGACAAGCUCGAUGCACAGACCAAAACACAAGCUGAGAGCCCAGCCCAGCCUGGUAAGCCUGAGAAACACGUUUCCUCCAGGGACUGGAUAGGCUGCAAAGUGCCUAUCCACAGAACUGUAGGCAGCAGCAUGCCAAAAUGCAAUGACAGCAGGAUCAGUAAAUGCCCAGAGCUUCACUCAGGUGUGAAAGUAGGGGCAGAAUGGGCUGAGGACUGUCUGGAUGGGACUCUGAGUGGCCUGAUCUAGUUGCAUAUGUCUCUGCUCUUUGCAGAGGAGUAGGACUAGAUGACAUUUAAGGGUCCCGGCUCUGUGGUAAUUUUUGUUGCUCGGUGCAGGGCUAUUGCAGAACAAUUUAAUCCUGCACCUUUUUGAACGCUUCAUGUCCCACCCUCCUCUGAAGCAAUCUAAAAGUACUCCAGGUGAGACUGCUGAACUCUUAUAUGGUAUGUAACCUGCCACGUAAAGCUGCCUUGAGGAGACAGGAAAGUGUCAGGACUGGAUUUCCUUCUGGGUUUCCAGCGAGCUCCAGGUUAGUUCUAAAGAAUCAAAUUAGCAUGCAAAAGGGUAAAUACUUUAAAACUUCCUGCAAUUCUAUGAAGGAAACUAACCACAACAAAAAUGGAAAGCCAUAACAGAGUCCAUUAGAAUGAUAAGUGACUGAAGAUGAAACACUGAAAAAAAAGGGCUCACUCAAAACCAACAGAAAAUAAAUUCACACUGGAAGCUUACCAGAGAGUCAGUAGAUAACAGGGUCGUGAGAGUCAUUCAGAGAAGAUAGUGGCACAGCAGGAAGACACAGUGAGUUAUCUACACUAUCAGGCAGUAAAGGGAAGCUCCCAUCCUGAAACCAUUUUUUACAGCACAAAUGUGAUAACUUGCUUCAAGUGAAAGUGUAGUCAGGUAUGUUUCAAAACAAAUUAAUAAUACAAACAUUAAGUGACACAGAUGGCAUUUAUCCAAGACCUUGGAGGAACCCAAACACAGAUCUCUCAGCAGCUCUGGGGCACGCAACCUAUUGUUUAACUCAACCUGAAACCUGAGGAAUGACAGAAGGCAAAUGAGUUGCUUGGGUUGGGCUUUUGUUUUUUGCUCUAAGGGCUUUGGGUUAGUUUGUGGAUCUGUGGCUUCUGGAAAUUAGGAACAGCACUCCUGGGCAUGCAGGAAAGUGUAAUCAUGGGGGAGGAAACAAGCUUGCUCUGGGGACAAAGUCAUGUCAGUCCUUGAAGGAGUCAGGAAACCAGUUCCAUGGAUGUGGCUGGGCAGAUGGAUAUACUGUACCUGGAUGUCCAAAACAUUUUCAGCAAAGUCUUCCACCAAUUGUCUUUAAUCCCUCUUCUCUACAGCAUGUUCGUUCUCACAGUUAAUAACAGGGCAGGAGAUACUGAAUGGAAAGUGGUCAGCACACAGGGCAGGAAAGUUAUGGGUUUUGCCUCACCAGGAUCUGUAUUUGGGCUUGUGCUUCCUACUUGUUUCAUAAAUGGUCUGGGAACGGGUGUGUGCAGUUAUGGGACAAGGCUUGCUGGUCAAAGUGAGGUACUAAUCUGGACAGUCAAAUGGCAACUCGGUAGACAUAAAGUAAUGUACACGGAGAAGUUCUAAGUACAUGAGGAGAGAGUUCAGACAAGUUACCUCACUCAAGGAGGUGGCCUGGGGGCUGGCUCUGUGUUUCCUGACUUCCUUCUCAGAGAAGAAACAGAGGAAUUAAGAAGGGCCCCCAGCCACCCCUCACACUCCUUGCCCUCCAGAGCCUCACCGCUGUGACAGCACUCCUUUGGGUGCUGUGUGACAGCUUUGUGUCUGUGUAUUGUGGCACCCAGCCUGCACCCGCUGCUGGAGGUGAGGCUGCUCAGCACAGAGGGGACAACUCCUCCCCUCGCCUGGUGGCAGUGCUGGGCCUGAGGCACCCAGGGUACAGUCAGCCCUCUGAGCUGUCAGGGCACACUUCUGACUCAUGUUCAACUUCUCAUGAACUAGAACUCCCCGAUCCCUUUCCAUGGGACUGCUCCCAGCUGGCCUUCCUUGGUCAUCUAGGUGAGUAACCUUGUCAUAAGAAGAAAUCAGUUUAAUUAAACAGGACUUUCCCCUUGUGAACCCAUUUUGGCUGUGACCAAUGUUUGUGCUGUUUUCAGGUGCUUUUCAGUAACUCCCAGAAUAAUCUUUUCCAUAGGCACUGAAGUGAGACUGACAAGCUUGUCAUUAUCAGGGUCCUCUUUCUUGCCCAUCUUGAGAACUGGGACAAUGUUUCCAGCUUCCAUCAAAUGGGUUCUCUCAGUGGAGAAUUGAAAAAUAAUUGAGAGGGUUCUUGUGAUGACAUCAGCCAGAUCUUCUGAGUUGCUAGCAGUGAAUCCCAUAGGGCCCCAUGGAUUUAGAUGCAUCCAUAUGGAGUAGCAAAUCACACAAGUUGGGGGUUGGCUGGGAGCUGAUUGUUACUGCAGCCCUGAUCCUCCAGCUCUGGGCUACAGCGGUCCCAGAGCCCAGCAUCAGUGUUGAAGACAGGGGCAAAGAAGGCAUUAAAGGUCUCUGCUUUGUCUGCAUCCCUGUUUGUGAGGUGACCAUCCUUAUCAAGUAACAGACCAAUGUUAUCUCUGUUCCCCUGUGAGCUGCUAACAUAUUUAACAAAUACCUUUCUGUUGUCCCAGUUUGGCAUUCUUCAAAUCUAACUGAGCUUUGGUUGCACCUAUCUUCUCCCUGCACUCUCUGUUUGGAAGCAACAGAUCUAGGAAAGCACCUUUUCUUGUUUGCUGCCCUACUACAGGUACCAAGAUGUUAUCAUCUACAUAUUUUAAGAAUCUCCUGGUCCUCUUUGUACCAAAUGUGUGGUGUUCCGAGUUAAUGUCUGGCAAGCUGAAGUUUCUCAUAAGUACACUCAUAAGUUAGUCAUAAGUACAUCACUCAUAAGAUGGUUGAUCUAGAGAUAUCUCUUAGUUCCUUACAGAACAGUUCAUUAGUGUCAUUGUCCUGGCUGGGUGGCAUAUUGUAGGCUCCCACAGUGUCAACUGCUUUAUUUGCUUGUCCUGUUUAUUUCUCAUGCUGUGUGCAUUGGUGUAGAAACAUUUCAAAAGUGCUUCAUUGUACUCAGCACCUCGUGCAGCAGGCUGAAGGCUCUCACAAGCACACAGUCCCUCAUAUUUCAGUGUGCCAAUAUAUAGCAUACCACUAGCAAGCUUAGUUUUAUCCCUUCCUCACUUUGAAUCUAGUUUAAAUCUCACUUGAUCAGCUCUGCUAACUCCUGUGCAAAAACCUUUCCUCCCUCUCUGAGAAAGGUGCAUCCAGUAGAUCCCAGCAGGCCCGGUGUUGUGCAGACCAUCCCGUAAUCAAGAAACCCAAAAUCCUGUCAGCGACAUCAGUCUUGGAUCCAUAUAAUGACGUCACAGGUUAAAAGCCAAACGGAUCUAAGCACUUCACUAUGCAUCAUAAAUCCGAGGAAUUAAUUGCCUAGGGUUGCUAUGGAGGCAAAUAGCCUAGAAUUGAUCAAAAGCAAUCAGAUACUUCCACAGAAGAGCAACUCAGCAAGGACUGCUAGAGGUAAGGGUACUUUGGUCAGUGUGUGACUAACAUGGAUAUUGCUGGAAACAUACUGGAGGAAGCAUCACUUUAUACCCACAUCUUUCCUUAAUCUGCUUGAAGCACACCACACUCACCACCACUGUUAGGAUCCAUGGCUGGUUUGGUCCCUAUACACCAGAUAGUGGUUUCUAGGAUCUUAUGAUGCACCAGGAUAAGCUAGCUGAGAAGCAAAGCCCUGGCCAAGUAGUCUGACCUAAAUACUGCUGCAAAGCAAUGGCAUAUCUUGCAAGCACUUGUUCUGCACACUAGUGUUAAAUAGAAGAUGGGAAAGUCUGUAUCUCAGAUGUGCUGUUACAACACUCCACAGUCACUCGAUGUAAUACAGCAUGAUGCUAAGAACCAUGCAAAGAGAGUCUGGGCUGAGGGCCAAAUAGGCCCUUAAAAUGUAUCUGAGGAAGGAAACAUAUCGACACACACCAUAACGUUUUCCAGGAAGAAAGUAAGCAACACCAGGGUUGCCAGUCUUGUGAAAACAGAUUAUGAGCUGUACUGGUCCUUGGGUCGAGUAUACCUUAAAGAUCGAGAAGAGAUGAGGAAAAAGCAGAGCUGGGAAAAGGGGGAAAAGAAGGGCUGAGAAUAGAAGAAAGCCUUUGCUUUAGCCAGCCUGACAGUAAGUUGCUGACUAGAUAUCCCUAUAGCCACAGACAUGCCAGAACCUUGGCCUGGCCAGAACAAGACUGAGCUUAGCAAAGAAGUGAUGAGCUGAAAUGUUUGCAGCUGAGAUAAUUCAGUUGUAAAGCAUGGAAGGAGAUAAGAGUGGGGCACAAAACCCUUCUACAGAACCAGGAAGGCAGAGUAGGGAAGUUCUCUAGAGACUGCACUGAGGCACGUUCACAGUACCAAGCCUCAGCCAGGGACCCCCAGCUGUGGGGAGCUCUGCACUGGGGUUCUCCAUAUCACCAUACAGGGAAACUGCUGUAGGAAACUGCCUCCUGCUGUGGGUCUGACAAGAACAGAGGAGGGGCUGGAGAAGAGUACUGAGAAGGUUGUAUGGGUU